UACGGAGGGGGCUAGCGUUGUUCGGAAUUACUGGGCGUAAAGCGCACGUAGGCGGACUGGAAAGUCAGGGGUGAAAUCCCGGGGCUCAACCCCGGAACUUCCUUUGAAACUCCCAGUCUUGAGGUCGGGAGAGGUGAGUGGAAUUCCGAGUGUAGAGGUGAAAUUCGUAGAUAUUCGGAGGAACACCAGUGGCGAAGGCGGCUCACUGGUUCGAUGCUGACGCUGAGACGCGAAAGCGUGGGGAGCAAACAGG
rnacentral:rRNA from 1 species